AUGUUGAGGGAGGAGCAACUCUGUCAAAGAGCAGAACAGAAAAGGACUCCCACUGUCACAUACAUUNCAAGUCCAACUCUCUUCUGGUACAAACAAGAAGUAAAUGGUUCUCCACAGUAUAUGAUGAAAAGUUUCUCAAAGUCUGUGGAUAAAGCUCCAGAGUUCCAGGAAGACAGACUUCAUACUGGAAUCCAGGAUAAGUCCGUUCCUCUGAAGAUCCAGAAACUUCAGCUGUCUGACUCUGCUGUGUACUACUGUGCUCUGCAGCCCACAGUGACAGGAAACAGCAAAACUCUGCACAAAAACCUUUGGAGCAAAGACAAGAGAAAACUCCACAACAUCCACUAG